AGAAAAACACACACAGGCAUGGGAUCAUUCAAAGAUCAGGAAGGUAGUGACUUAGUUGGGAAUACAACUCAGUGAUGCUUUGUGCAGAUUGGCUACCAGUCCAAUGCAGCAGGGGUCUGAUUGAACUCAGCAUGCCAUGAUUUUCAGGUUAAAAGCGCACAGAUUUACAAGUCAGUCUUGGUCAAGUGUUUCUGGUCCACAGAAAAAAGAAAAAUGUCCCUGCAGACAACGAUAGAAGCUGGCUGAUAACAGUGUGACUCCUGUGUGCUCUGCCACCGAUCUCAUGUAUUACAGAUCAGAACUGUCACUGCAAUUCAUCUUCUAUGGAUGCAAAGAACCUUUGCUAUCUGCAAAGUGUUAACCUGAGAAGUAAAUAGCCUUACACAGAAAAUAUACUGUAGCAGAAAAAAAUACACAAAAAGGCAACUGAGAUCAUAAAGAUGACAUAAAAUGUUUUUACCAAUAAUGGAGCUUUAAAUUAACACUGAUUUACCUCACUGAUGACCUGAAAUGGACACAUCACAACUAUCAUCAAGAAGGUUUCCUAAUGUUUUUACUUCCUUAGACAUUGUGGCAGAUGGCCGGGGCCCAUGCCCAACCGAGACGCCGCUGCAGCAUAUGUUCCAGGGGAGCAAGCCUGGGAGACCCAGUACCUCCUCCUGGACGCUAGAUGGCAUCCUCCCUGGGUUUCAGCGGUGCCUCGGACUCCUGCAGGGCUUCAUGGGAGUUGGAGUUUGGUGCAGCUCUGUUGGAGGUGCUACAGCAGGAGUUGCUGGCCCCUUUUGGGCACUGGUUUCGCCACACCCGGAAAUGCAGCCUGGAGUCAGCAAUCAAGCA